GAAAAGGAAAGGAAAGAAAAAUCCCACUUUAUUAUUAUUAUUAUUUUUGUUCUCUUGUUUUACUAUGUAUAUAGUAGCAGUAGCGCUUUACCAGAUUUGUAGAUUAGAGAUUCACAAUCGCUUUCCCUUCCCUGACUCUCAUGAGGACAGCGACAUAUCCUCUCCCUGAAACUACUCUUCGCAAUUUCUGCAGCUCUCUCCCCCAAAUGAAAUUUUUAACUCCUUUCUUUUGCAGAUUAUUAUGUACUGUUUUUUUUUCCUCGUAUCCUAUUACUCGUAUGAUUUAUGAGCUCUUUGCUUCUGUGUAUAGUUGUCUUUUGGGUGUUUUUUAUUUUCCUUUUCCGUUUGAGAUAGUAAGGAAGAAGAAGAUUAGAACUAGUGCAGCUGAUCAGCAUCGUCAUUAUCCUUUGGGUGUUUUUCAUUUUCCUUUUUAUUUAAGAGUGCAUCGGAUUUAGGGUUAGUGAAGAAGCAACACCCAAAAAGAAGAAGCAAAGAAGCGUCAAUGGAGCUGUUCCGCAGUGUAAAGCUUUGAUACUUAGGGUUAGUGUUCAUGCAGGCAUUUUUCCUUUACUUAACAAAAGCGUGAUUCUUAAUUAGGUCAAGGGCUUUGGCUUUUUGGACUUCCGGGAAAUUGGUGUUACUUUCCGGUAUUUGCUAAGUUGUGCACUUUUUUCUUGAUAUCUCAGAGGGUAUUGAGGAACACAACAAAGGUGAAAAUGAGCUAAUGCUACUACAUGAUAGGCCACAUGAAGAGGCGUUGUGUUCCCCAAAAGAAGAAAAAUAAAAGAGGUUUCCAGUCCCAUUUCUUACCCAGACAAAGUUGGUUUUGGUGUUUGGCCGGGGAGAAGUGAUAUGUCAAAUCAGUUACGUAAGAGAUUCAUUUCCAACCAAUAUAAUUCUGCAAAAGUAACUCUGGGACUGGCCUGAACACUGGAAAAAGGUAACAUCUUGUCAAAUGUUGUGAGAAGUGAGAACUUAAUUAUGUAUCUCACCGUGAAAAAAGCUGAUGAAAGAUCACCCUGUCUCUAUUAUUAAGAAUAUUUAUUUGUUUAUUUUUCGGAGAAAAAGUAUCUGUGAGAAUGGGAGCUGCUUGUCUUUAUUCUUUU